GAUGAACGCUGACAGAAUGCUUAACACAUGCAAGUCUACUUGAAUUUGGGUUUUUAACUUAGGUUUGGGUGGCGGACGGGUGAGUAACGCGUAAAGAACUUGCCUCACAGCUAGGGACAACAUUUAGAAAUGAAUGCUAAUACCUAAUAUUAUGAUAAUAGGGCAUCCUAUAAUUAUGAAAGCUAUAUGCGCUGUGAGAGAGCUUUGCGUCCUAUUAGCUAGUUGGUAAGGUAAAGGCUUACCAAGGCGAUGAUAGGUAGCCGGCCUGAGAGGGUGGACGGCCACAAGGGGACUGAGAUACGGCCCUUACUCCUACGGGAGGCAGCAGUGGGGAAUAUUGGACAAUGGAGGAAACUCUGAUCCAGCAAUUCUGUGUGUGUGAAGAAGGUCUUCGGAUUGUAAAACACUUUUAGUUGGGAAGAAACAAAUGACGGUAC
rnacentral:rRNA from 1 species